rnacentral:rRNA from 1 species
UACGCAGGCGGAAAAUUAAGUCAGUGGUGAAAUCCUGCAGCUUAACUGUAGAACUGUCAUUGAUACUGGUUUUCUUGAAUACAGUUGAGGUAGGCGGAAUGUGUAAUGUAGCGGUGAAAUGCUUAGAUAUUACACAGAACACCGAUUGCGAAGGCAGCUUACUAAACUGUGAUUGACGCUGAGGUACGAAAGCGUGGGGAGCGAACA